rnacentral:rRNA from 1 species
CACGUAGGGCGCGAGCGUUGUCCGGAAUUAUUGGGCGUAAAGGGCUCGUAGGCGGUUUGUUGCGUCGAAAGUGAAAAUCCGGGGCUUAACUCCGGACUUGCUUUCGAUACGGGGCAGACUAGAGGUAGGCAGGGGGAGAGUGGAAUUCCUGGUGUAGCGGUGGAAUGCGCAGAUAUCAGGAGGAACACCGGUGGCGAAGGCGGGUCUCUGGGCAGUAACUGACGCUGAGGAGCGAAAGCGUGGGGAGCGAACAGG